GGGUCUCACCGUGCAGCUCUGCCUGCCUGGAAGUCACUACAUAUACCAGACUGCCAUUCAACCUGCAGAGAGAUCUGUGCUCCUGCCUCCUGAGUGCUGGGAUUAGAGUACCCUGGAAGCUGCUACGGUUGUGUCCUGCCAUGGGCAGCCCUGUAAUCCUGGAUUGUGUUGAAUCUGCUGAGACGCAAGUGUUUCAUCUGAAUGGAUUACAGUUCGCUAUAGUUAACUGCACUAGAAAAGCCCUAUGUGAACUUGACAAAUAAAGUGGACAUCACCUGA